GUGGGUUUGUGGCUCAGUGGUAGAGCGCUCGCCUAGCAUGUGCGCACCCUGGGUUCGAUCCUUGGCACCACA
rnacentral:tRNA from 1 species